UCCCGAGCGUUGUCNGGAUUUAUUGGGCGUAAAGCGAGCGCAGGCGGUUUGAUAAGUNUGAAGUUAAAGGCUGUGGCUCANCCAUAGUUCGCUUUGGAAACUGUCAAACUUGAGUGCAGAAGGGGAGAGUGGAAUUCCAUGUGUAGCGGUGAAAUGCGUAGAUAUAUGGAGGAACACCGGUGGCGAAAGCGGCUCUCUGGUCUGUAACUGACGCUGAGGCUCGAAAGCGUGGGGAGCGAACAGGAUUAGAUACCCUGGUAGUCCACGCCGUAAACGAUGAGUGCUAGGUGUUGGAUCCUUUCCGGGAUUCAGCGCCGCAGCUAACGCAUUAAGCACUCCGCCUGGGGAGUACGACCGCAAGGUUGAAACUCAAAGGAAUUGACGGGGGCCCGCACAAGCGGUGGAGCAUGUGGUUUAAUUCGAAGCAACGCGAAGAACCUUACCAGGUCUUGACAUCCCGAUGCUAUUUCUAGAGAUAGGAAGUUACUUCGGUACAUCGGUGACAGGUGGUGCAUGGUUGUCGUCAGCUCGUGUCGUGAGAUGUUGGGUNNNNNNNNGCAACGAGCGCAACCCCUAUUGUUAGUUGCCAUCAUUCAGUUGGGCACUCUAGCGAGACUGCCGGUAAUAAACCGGAGGAAGGUGGGGAUGACGUCAAAUCAUCAUGCCCCUUAUGACCUGGGCUACACACGUGCUACAAUGAUUGGUACAACGAGUUGCGAGUCGGUGACGGCGAGCUAAUCUCUUAAAGCCAAUCUCAGUUCGGAUUGUAGGCUGCAACUCGCCUACAUGAAGUCGGAAUCGCUAGUAAUCGCGGAUCAGCGCGCCGCGGUGAAUACGUUCCCGGGCCU
rnacentral:rRNA from 1 species